AUACUUACCUGGCAGGGGAGAUACCAUGAUCACGAAGGUGGUUUCCCCAGGGCGAGGCUUAUCCAUUGCACUCCAGAUGUGCUGACCCCUGUGAUUUCCCCAAAUGUGGGAAAUUUGACUGCAUAAUUUGUGGUAGUGGGGGAUUUUAAAUUAAAAAAAAAAAAGCUCAGG